rnacentral:rRNA from 1 species
AUUGAACGCUGGCGGCAGGCCUAACACAUGCAAGUAGAACGAGUGGCGGACGGGUGAGUAAUGUCUGGGAAACUGCCUGAUGGAGGGGGAUAACUACUGGAAACGGUAGCUAAUACCGCAUACCAUCAGAUGUGCCCAGAUGGGAUUAGCUUGUUGGUGGGGUAACGGCUCACCAAGGCGACGAUCCCUAGCUGGUCUGCGAGGAUGACCAGCCACACUGGAACUGAGACACGGUCCAGACUCCUACGGGAGGCAGCAGGGGGGAAUAUUGGACAAUGGGCGCAAGCCUGAUACAGCAAUGCCGCGUGUAUGAAGAAGGCCUUCGGGUUGUAAAGUACUGUCAGCGGGGAGGCGUUACCCGCAGAAGAAGCACCGGCUAACUCCGUGCCAGCCGCCGCGGUAAUAC